UUAGCGUUUAGUAUUUACACCGGUGACGGUGGACAGACGGAGAGGCAGAGGAGCGGCUGCCGACCGACGUUUGACCCACGACAGUAUAUGAGAGCUGCUGUGUGCAGAGAGAGAGAGAGAGAGGAGCUGAACAACAUGGAGCCUCGAUCACAGUGACCGGAUCACGUCUCCUGUCGGCCUGAAUGUGAAGCAGUCGGAAUCUUUAUUCUGACUGAAUCGAGUUAGUUUUCACGUAAACUUGCACAAUAGCUGGUCCCACGUUUGCAAUUCCAGAGCCUAUCAUUUCUUUUUUUUUUGUGGGGGGACCAAAACAAAAACUCCCACGGUUUGUACAUUUUUUUUCACACGAUAUUUCAGCAGAAAUGGCAAAUUUUGCUCAUGACACCACUCACUGUAUUUAUUUAUUACAUUUCAGAGCUUUGUGAAGCAAAAGAACAAAAACGAAACAGUUUUUCUUUCUGAAGCAAACAUUAAAAGUUUGGGAAACAGGACACGUUUCACAACACUUGAAAAAUAAAAAGAAUCAACACAACACACGAAGCCUUCAUUAAUUUUUUUCCCAUAUCAAAAGAAAAACCAAAACCCAAACUGUGGCGAUGACAAUCAUAUUCACUUCUUGUCUAUUCUUGCAUGCUUGCAUCUGACAAAUCCGACAACUUCAGACACCUCGAGAGAAAUCUGGGACCUGAGCAAAGUGUCACUGUGUGUCUUGUACCUUUGACGUGAUGGUUUUUUUUUUUCUUUUUUCUGCAUGUCGUUCUCAUGUGAUGGUGACGAGUCGCUCAAACUAACGAUGUUUCUUUUGGGUCCAGUCCAUGACAACUUGGGAUUCACUCGAAAACAAGCCCGCAGCUUAUUAGCCAGAUUGAUUUGGAGAUUUUUUAUUCUUUUUUUAAUUGAAAGUGAGUGCAGACGAAAGGAAGGAAAUGUUUGUCUUUUUCUCGUCCUUUAUAGGAUCAUGUAUUUUUGCGACCGCCUGUCGAGGACCUCGUCCAUCGUGAGGACACAAAGCGAUUGGCCAGACUCUUGUCCAUGA
rnacentral:lncRNA from 1 species